rnacentral:rRNA from 1 species
AACGAACGCUGGCGGCGUGCCUAAUACAUGCAAGUCGAACGAGAAAGUGGCUUCGGCCAUGAGUACAGUGGCAGACGGGUGAGUAAUACAUAGGUAACCUACCUCCGAGAUGGGGAUAACCUUCCGAAAGGAGGGCUAAUACCGAAUAAGACUAAGGAGACACAUGUCUCUGCAGCCAAAGAUGGCCUCUACUUGUAAGCUAUCGCUUGGAGAUGGGCUUAUGCACCAUUAGCUAGUUGGUAAGGUAAAGGCUUACCAAGGCUGUGAUGGUUAGCUGAUCUGAGAGGUUGAUCAGCACACUGGAACUGAGACACGGUCCAGACUCCUACGGAGGCAGCAGUAGGGAAUAUUGCGCAAUGGAGGAAACUCUGAAC